rnacentral:rRNA from 1 species
AUGACCAUGGCUAGUCCAUUCGGCGUCUUUGUUUGUCUACUCAUAGUGCUACCUCAAAUCCAGGCCGCUUCUAUCCCCUACAAUGGGACUGUACCUCUUCAGGGGUGUCAGAUCCCUUGUAUGACCGAAGUUAACUUGCACUUGUUCUUGCACCAAUUCGUCGAUGGACCAAACCAGCCAAACCGCAAUGAGGAAACCUUGCUCCAAACAAGUUUUCCUUUUGGGUUUGGGACGACGAUAGUUCAUGACUGGACUCUUACCGAGACAACAAAUUCCAAAGAUACAGUUGUUGCACGUGCACAAGGCGUGCAUGUCCAGGCUGGUUUAACCAAGGAUAAUAGAUGGUACAUGACUCAUAACAUAGAGUUUGAGCAAGGAAGUUUGCACAUGAAACAGGUUUGCAGGGUCUAA